rnacentral:rRNA from 1 species
AUUGAACGCUGGCGGCAGGCCUAACACAUGCAAGUCGAGCGAGCGACGGACGGGUGAGUAAUGUCUGGGAAACUGCCUGAUGGAGGGGGAUAACUACUGGAAACGGUAGCUAAUACCGCAUACCAUCAGAUGUGCCCAGAUGGGAUUAGCUAGUAGGUGGGGUAACGGCUCACCUAGGCGACGAUCCCUAGCCGGCCUGAGCGGUUGACCAGCCACACUGGAACUGAGACACGGUCCAGACUCCUACGGGAGGCAGCAGUGGGGAAUAUUGCACAAUGGGCGCAAGCCUGAUGCAGCCACGCCGCGUGUGUGAAGAAGGCCUUCGGGUUGUAAAGCACUUUCGGCGGGGAGGCGUUACCCGCAGAAGAAGCACCGGCUAACUCCGUGCCAGCCGCCGCGGUAAUAC